rnacentral:rRNA from 1 species
ACGGGAGGCAGCAGUGGGGGAUAUUGGGCAAUGGGCGAAAGCCUGACCCAGCAACGCCGCGUGAAGGAAGAAGGUCUUCGGAUUGUAAACUUCUUUUAUGAGGGACGAAGGACGUGACGGUACCUCAUGAAUAAGCCACGGCUAACUACGUGCCAGCAGCCGCGGUAAU